rnacentral:rRNA from 1 species
GAUGAACGCUGGCGGCGUGCCUAAUACAUGCAAGUCGAGCGAACAGACGAGGAGCUUGCUCCUCUGACGUUAGCGGCGGACGGGUGAGUAACACGUGGAUAACCUACCUAUAAGACUGGGAUAACUUCGGGAAACCGGAGCUAAUACCGGAUAAUAUAUUGAACCGCAUGGUUCAAUAGUGAAAGACGGUUUUGCUGUCACUUAUAGAUGGAUCCGCGCCGCAUUAGCUAGUUGGUAAGGUAACGGCUUACCAAGGCAACGAUGCGUAGCCGACCUGAGAGGGUGAUCGGCCACACUGGAACUGAGACGCGGUCCAGACUCCUACGGGAGGCAGCAGUAGGGAAUCUACCGCAAUGGGCGAAAGCCUGACGGAGCAACGCCGCGUGAGUGAUGAAGGUCUUCGGAUCGUAAAACUCUGUUAUUAGGGAAGAACAAAUGUGUAAGUAACUAUGCACGUCUUGACGGUACCUAAGCAGAAAGCCACGGCUAACUACGG